rnacentral:rRNA from 1 species
AGGAUCCUGGCUCAGGACGAACGCUGGCGGCGUGCCUAAUACAUGCAAGUCGAGCGGACAGAUGGGAGCUUGCUCCCUGAUGUUAGCGGCGGACGGGUGAGUAACACGUGGGUAACCUGCCUGUAAGACUGGGAUAACUCCGGGAAACCGGGGCUAAUACCGGAUGCUUGUUUGAACCGCAUGGUUCAAACAUAAAAGGUGGCUUCGGCUACCACUUACAGAUGGACCCGCGGCGCAUUAGCUAGUUGGUGAGGUAACGGCUCACCAAGGCAACGAUGCGUAGCCGACCUGAGAGGGUGAUCGGCCACACUGGGACUGAGACACGGCCCAGAUCUACGGGAGGCAGCAGUAGGGAAUCUUCCGCAAUGGACGAAAGUCUGACGGAGCAACGCCGCGUGAGUGAUGAAGGUUUUCGGAUCGUAAAGCUCUGUUGUUAGGGAAGAACAAGUACCGUUCGAAUAGGGCGGUACCUUGACGGUACCUAACCAGAAAGCCACGGCUAACUACGUGCCAGCAGGGUAAUACGUAGCAAGCGUUGUCCGGAAUUAUUGGGCGUAAAGGGCUCGCAGGCGGUUCCUUAAGUCUGAUGUGAAAGCCCCCGGCUCAACCGGGGAGGGUCAUUGGAAACUGGGGAACUUGAGUGCAGAAGAGGAGAGGAAUCACGUGUAGCGUAAAUGCGUAGAGAUGUGGAGGAACACCAGUGCGAAGGCGA